UGUGAUUGUGUAGUGUGUAUAUAAUGCAGUGUGUUUGUGCCGUGUGUUUAUAUAAUGCAUACUACACAAACACACUUCUUUAUAUACACACUACACAAACAU